GUCGUCUUAGCUCAACUAGUAGAGAACGUGGAUUUUAACCACGUGGUCAUGGGUUCGAUUCCCACAGAUGGCG
rnacentral:tRNA from 1 species